UACGUAGGGGGCGAGCGUUGUCCGGAUUUAUUGGGCGUAAAGAGCUCGUAGGCGGUUGGGUAAGUCGGGUGUGAAAACUCAGGGCUCAACUCUGAGACGCCACUCGAUACUGCCCUGACUCGAGUCCGGUAGGGGAGCGUGGAAUUCCCGGUGUAGCGGUGAAAUGCGCAGAUAUCGGGAGGAACACCAGUGGCGAAGGCGGCGCUCUGGGCCGGAACUGACGCUGAGGAGCGAAAGCGUGGGGAGCGAACAGG
rnacentral:rRNA from 1 species